GAGGCUGGAGCAACAUUGCCAGUGAUGAGGGUGGCUGAGCCGUCUCCAGUGGGGCCCUGUCAAGCAUACACUGAGGAAUGGGUGGAGCUUUUGUCUUGAUCUCAUCUGAUGGCUUCAGCUCCUGACGCCUCCCAGAGGAGCCGGCGGAGGAGGAGAGGAAUUCCACUGGAUUCAAAGACUUCUCUGGGUUUGCUUUUUGACUCUUCCGCCUCGCCUCGCCUCGCCUUGCCUUCCCCCUUCCACCAGCUCCUCGCGUUGACCCAUUCCCCCCCCCGUGAUCCCCGGCCAAACCAUCUUCCUGGCCCCGGGGGCGCUGUGGCCUCGUGUGCACGAGCAGGCACAUUACACGACUGCUUUUAUUCUGGACAAAUCCAAGAGUAGGGUUCCUCUGCAUGUCCAAGCCUUUGAUUCAAUGAAGACGGAGAAUAAACUUUGGCCCGAUUCAACAGACUUUUUUUUCAUCAGGGCUUAUACAUUUGUUGAGGGAGCUGUAGAUAAGUUGCCAGGUUCCCUCACAAACUGCAGCCUCGAGCAUAUCCCUAUGGAUUCCACUGAGAGUUCUGUGGCAGGCAGUCUUCAAAAGAGUGGGACAUUAUAUCUGAAAGGACUUUUGCCGUAAUGAAAAAUGAAAAGUGUGUGUUUUCCCAGUACCAUCUGGUUUCAAUCGCGGCAAUAUCCUAAACAUGACCAGUUUCUUGAAUCAGCUACCCUCAGCUUGCCUCCCAGACGUCAGGCACUCAUUAUUCCAGUCAGGCCUCUCCGACAGCCACACAAAGUUGAGCGUUUUCACCAGUCGAGCCCAAGUAGAAGUCAGCUAUUCUCUCAUUCACCUCAUAAUCACGCUGCAAUGGCUGUUUUCAUUGUUAAAAUGUGGUUCAUAAUGGCCCAGUUUUUUUAUUAUGGGUCACAUGAUCCGACACAACUCCAAGGAAAGUCUUUUUUAAGGUGUUGAUCGACACAUCUGUUUUUCUGUUGUUUU